UACGUAGGGGGGCUAGCGUUGUCCGGAAUCAUUGGGCGUAAAGAGCGUGUAGGCGGUCCGGUAAGUCCGCUGUGAAAGUCGGGGGGCUCAACCCUCGAAUGCCGGUGGAUACUGUCGGGCUAGAGUGCGGAAGAGGCGAGUGGAAUUCCUGGUGUAGCGGUGAAAUGCGCAGAUAUCAGGAGGAACACCAUUAUCGCGAAGGCAGCUCGCUGGGACGUUACUGACGCUGAGGACGACGAAGCGUGGGGAGCAAACAGG
rnacentral:rRNA from 1 species